rnacentral:rRNA from 1 species
GUAAACGAUGCUCGCUAGGUGUCAGGCAUGGCGCGACCGUGUCUGGUGCCGCAGGGAAGCCGUGAAGCGAGCCACCUGGGAAGUACGGCCGCAAGGCUGAAACUUAAAGGAAUUGGCGGGGGAGCACAACAACGGGUGGAGCCUGCGGUUUAAUUGGACUCAACGCCGGACAACUCACCGGGGGCGACAGCAAUAUGUAGGCCAAGCUGAAGACUUUGCCUGAAUCGCUGAGAGGAGGUGCAUGGCCGUCGCCAGUUCGUACUGUGAAGCAUCCUGUUAAGUCAGGCAACGAGCGAGACCCGUGCCCACUGUUACCAGCAUGUCCUCCGGGACGAUGGGUACACUGCGGGGACC